UUCCUUAAAAAGCAUCAACAUUCACGCUAAGCAUAGUUUCAAUCGAGUUCCCGUCACAUCAUAUAUUAACUCUAUUUCGAACUGUUGCUGAUUACAUGUUGGUUAUUAUUGAUUCGUUCAUGUUCCUUUGACAUGUUCAUGUACUUUUUUUCCAGAUGAAACAAACAUAAAGAAUUCAUAAUUCAUUUAAGAAUUAUUAAUUAGGACAACAUCAAAUUAUUUAUCAUGUCUGAGAAAAGUAGUGCAAAUUUUGGAUAAUAUGAAAGUGGCUCCAACUUUUAUGGCGCGAACGAAGCUAGCAUUGACUAGCUGGGAUGUUAAAUAAUGGGACGCAAUUUUUAUUAAAUGCAAUUUACGUGAUUAAUAUUUACAAGCAUAGUGUUCUUUGGUAGAAAAUUAAGUGGAACAAAAUGUUAGCUGGUAGUGCUGUGACAAAUCGCAGUUGAUCCGAACCACGGUUCGGCUCGCAUGUGAUUCGCGGAUUAAUAUAUACCAGUGUAUGGAAUGUCACAAUUAUAGAUUUGUGUGUAAACUUAAACAUGUCUUGAUGGACCCUAAUUUAUGCACUGUGCAGUUAUGCUGGUAGUUGGGUAAUGUCAUAAUGGUUAUUGGGUUGGGCUUGGACUAAAAAAGGGAAAUUGUAAUGGUUUAGUAUAAUAAGACAUUAUGUAUGGUUUUGUACAAUGCUAAUCUUUUUUUUCUUUUUUCCUCAGGUAAUCUUGCUUUUGCUGUUCUAAUAUAAACACUGCUCUUAGCACACCACCCAUACAUGGCACACAAAACAGGUCUUGUGAGGGGGCUGUGCCCACAGGUAGAAAUUCUGUAGGUCCACGGGCUUCUCCCCUUUCAGCGAACAUCACAGCGCUUAGUCCACCAUCGUGGUCUCCAAUCUCCAUUACCAACAGCCUGAGUGCUACACCUACAGACACCCCAACCCAUGCAGCAGCUGGCAGAAGUCAGACAUCAGGCCAAACUGGAUUUCAACACACCCCACCCUUACAUGGCACACAAGUAUAUGACACACAACACAGGUCUUCUCAGGAGGCUGUGCCUACAGCAAUAGGCUUUACGCCCAGCUGCACUACUUCCUGAACUUCAGCCAGCUCCUUGUUUCCUGUCUGCCAUUAUUGGACAAACUGAUUAAUCCAGGUGUGCCUGAGCUUAGUAGUCACAACAACAAUAAUCAGACACACCUGGAUUUAUCAGUUUGUCCAGUAAUGGCAGACAGGAAACAAGGAGCUUAAAGCCUAUUGCUAAGGAGAUCCUCAUCCAGCUCGAUUUUAUUAGAGAGCAGCAGUUGCAGACUUCACCCCAGACCCAACACAUUUUGGGCUGCCACUUUCAACUAUUGAGGAGCUACAAUGUUUGUAGGAGACAUUAAAUAAUCCAGAUGAGAAGAAGAAUUUGGUGAGACUGUUUUUCCUGGAAUGGUCGGAGACAAGACUCUUAAAGACACCGUGGGGUGGGUCCUGAAAAAAACAAUGAACUCUUCGUGGUGAGACUCAUCAAUUGAAGUGGGGUCAACUGAACGCCUGCAUUCAAAGGGCUCACUUUGAAAAGUGUGGUUUUGGAUGCAGUCCGCCGGAAUGCCCUGACCAAAGAUAACACAGAAAAGGAGAUAGAGCUCCUCAUCACCAGGUGGUCGGUGCUAGCAUAUGACAGGGAUGGUGGCCAAAUCCAGACAAUAGACAGACAAUGAAUUAAAAUGUUUUAAAUUUAAAAAUGUUGAUUUUUGGAAAAUUCGUAUUUGAACUGAUUGUGUGUGUGUGUGCACCUGGUAAUUAUCACGUUGUGUCCCCACAAAGAUAGGAAUACCAGUAUUUUUGUGACCUUGUGUCCCCAUGAGGAAACAAGCUUAUAAAUCAAACAAAAUUAUGUUUCUUGUAAAUGUGAAGUAGGAGAAGGGUUUCUGUGAUGGUUGGGUUUAGGGAAUGGGGUAGGUAAGGGGAAUAAAAUAUACAGUUUGUAUGGUAUAAAAUGCAUUACGUCUAUGGAAUGUCCCCACAAAACAUGGAAACCUGUUUGUGUGUACGAGAGAGAGAGAAUGUGUGUUCAAGUGAAUAAAAAAUGCAUUA